GAUGAACGCUGGCGGCGUGCCUAAUACAUGCAAGUCGAGCGAACGGACGAGAAGCUUGCUUCUCUGAUGUUAGCGGCGGACGGGUGAGUAACACGUGGAUAACCUACCUAUAAGACUGGGAUAACUUCGGGAAACCGGAGCUAAUACCGGAUAAUAUUUUGAACCGCAUGGUUCAAAAGUGAAAGACGGUCUUGCUGUCACUUAUAGAUGGAUCCGCGCUGCAUUAGCUAGUUGGUAAGGUAACGGCUUACCAAGGCAACGAUGCAUAGCCGACCUGAGAGGGGGAUCGGCCACACGGGAACUGAGACACGGUCCAGACUCCUACGGGAGGCAGCAGUAGGGUAUCUUCCGCAAUGGGCGAAAGCCUGACGGAGCAACGCCGCGUGAGUGAUGACGGUCUUCGGAUCGUAAAACUCUGUUAUUAGGGAAGAACAGAUGUGUAAGUAACUGUGCACAUCUUGACGGUACCUAAUCAGAAAGCCACGGCUAACUACGUG
rnacentral:rRNA from 1 species